rnacentral:tRNA from 1 species
GGUAGUGUGGCCGAGUGGUAAAAGGCGCCCGAUUUAGACUCUAGUCUCUUAGGAGGUGUGGGUACAAAUCCCACCACUGCCA